UAUAAUUUCAAGUUCCAGUUCAUAAGGUUUAAAAUAAAAAGUUCAACCAAAAGUUCGCCGCGUGCUUUUUCGUCCGAUUGACGGUGUCUAUCCGUAAACGACUCACACGUAGAAGCAGUCGAAGUCGCCGCCACCGGUCCAACGAAGACAAUCGGUAACAACUAAAAUGAUGCGACAAAAUUCAGGACCAGUUCCUCGUAUCGGCUGUUUUGAGUGUCGUCUCGACUGAUUUUUGAAGAGGAUUGAUUAUUUCUCGGUGGUACAUCGUGAUUUUCGUAUCCUGUUGCAGUCAACAAAAAACUGGGUCGCGCGCAUAUUUGCACGGACACACAGCGGACGGCCAUCCACAAAAUGUCCAAGGCAAGCCUUCGAUCGUCAAAAAAACCGAAACGACUGGAGGCCCAAGGAAAACGACCGCGAAAGAUCUUCUUCUUCUUCUUAAAUGGCACUAACGUUCCUAGAGGAGCUGCGCCGUCUCAACGUAGUAUUACUUGCGUCAUUUUUAUUAGUAAUUAGUUGAAAUUUCUAUGCCGAAUAACACACCUUGAAUGCAUUCUGAGAGGCAAGCUCUAGAAUACGCGUGACCACAGUGCAAGUUGAAGGAAAUUUCUUUGACGAAAAAUUCGCCCGACCAAAACGGUAAUCGAACCCGAACCCCCGGCAUGUGAGGUUUGACGCUAACCACUCGGUCACGGGAGCACGACCGCGAAAGAUGACUCUGCCAUAAAGCGAGCCUCCAAGAAAGAUCCCUUCAAGGUAUCGAAAAAAAUCCGGGAUAAAUUAAACUUGUCCUUGAGUUCGCGGACAGUUCAGCGGUGGCUGGUGGAACAGGGGGUAGGUGGUAAAAGCCCCCCGAUGCUAACGCUGAAGCAUCUGAAGGUGCCUCUGAAAUUCUGAAAUAAGAUCAUGGAUCAGUACCUCUACGCCUAAAUCCUAAGGUACUAGUGGGAGAUGGUAGUUAACGCAGGAUAACGAUCCGAAGCACACCUCCAAAAUCGUAAAAAAGUGGCACCAGGAUAACAAAGUCGACAUCAUGGAGGGGCCAGCGCAGUCACCGGAGCUGAACCCUAUAGAGAACCUAUCGGAGAUCGUGAAAAGGUCGGUGCGCACGGAAGAGUCGAAGAAUAAGCAGCAACUGUGGGAUAGGAUCCAAGCUUGUUGGUAAGCCAUUCCGGCACCAUGAUGCGUAACAAAGGUUACACGACCAAGUACUAACCCUAGAAGCUUAUCACGGAAUGAAUUUUCUUUUUUUUUAUUAUUUUUACCAUGAAUUUUAAAGCGCCUUCGCGAGUGUGACACCGCAUCGAACCACAGCGAAGUAGGCGAUUUCGGCGCGUCGGUCGAAAAUGUAAACGCCGUUACCCAGGCAGCAAACAAAAUCAAGCUCCCCCCGCUCUUGACAAACACAUCAGCGAAUUCGCAUCGAUGGGUGUUACAGCAGAGUACAAGUUGUGUGGCAUAAUUCAGGCUUUUUCCAAGCAGUUAACAUUGUUUGUUUUCCGUCACCAUAAGGGCUUCGUUGGUGCCUUUGGUGCACCAAAAAAUUAUUUGGGGAAUACUAAGCAUCUUGAAUGUCUUAUUGGAAUGUUAUAAGUUAUUUGGGUUCGCGUACCAGUCGUAAAACUGCCUUCAACUAGGAUUGCAUUUGCGCUAAUAUUGAUCAUAAUGAAGCAUUGUUACUGUUUUCGAGGUUGUUAUUAACAAAAAGAGUUUAUUUCGCUUGUUUAGUCACCAAGAAAGUGAAUGUCGUUCUGGAAUUUUGUAUGUGAUUAGGUUCCGCUUGCCAGUAGCAAAACUUCCUCCACUAAGGGUGACAGCUGCGCUUCUCUCGAGCAUGAGAAAGUAAUGCAACUUUUAUCGAGGCCAGUAAUAUUAACUGAAGCGUUUCUUUUGAGAAUAGUGCAAAAUGAUGAGAAGUGUUUAUAUUCCCAGUAGUCUCAAGCCACCAAUGUAUGGCUCUGUAUGCAUCUUAUGGCGAACGCUUGUUUGGCGCUUGGUUUACGUUUUACGAACGAUGCCUAGAGGUGCGAUUCUUUUGAGGCAAUACUAAAUAACAUGUAGCAUGAUAUUUGAUACUUGCAAGUGUUGUCAUUGUUGUUGUUUCCAUGAGGUGCCAAAGAUAUAUUGAUGUAGUUAUGAGAUGUGGAGUAAUGGUGCUGGUGUAACGAGUAUUUAAUCGACUGUAGCCGAGUAUAUGUCAAUUCCGAACAAGGCCAGGGUAAAUUUUCAAUGCAUUGACAUGAAAUAAAUUGCGACAUACGAUCAGCUAGUGUAUUGUUUUGCGAGGGCAAGAAUGAAUUAUCAAUCAAUUAUCCUCAACUGAUUCUACAACGAAAAAACCCACUUCAGAGAUUAUUCUACUAAGCGGUUGUUUCUAAAAUUUCACAGCAUUAUAGAAUAAUAUCCCAAGGUAUAAACGAGCAACUUAUAUAAAAUAACAGCGUUGUUCUACGUCAACAAUGCGGUCGUAUCUUGGACACAACCUCCUAUAAUUUUUUUUGCUUGAGCAGUGGUCUUAAUGUUUUUCCCGACACUGUAUAUAUAAAAAUGAAUUGCUCUCUGUUACUAGACCGAUCAACGUGAAAAUUGGUUUGUAGGGGUUUUUGGGUGCUCCCGUGGCCGACUGGUUAGAGUCCCACAUUAUCAUGCCGGGGGUUCGGGUUCGAUUCCCGUUCUGGCCGGGGGUUUCUUCGCCAAAGAAACUUCUUCCGACUCGCACUGUGGUCACGCGUAUUCUAGAGUUUGCCACUCCAGAAUACAUUCAAGGCGUGUUUUUCGGCAUAGAAAUCUCAACUAAGUACAAGUAAUAAAUAUGACGCAAGCCAAAGUUCCACUGGGAACGUUAGUGUCAUCCGAGAAGAGAGAAAAGGGUUUUUGGAGCCGGGGAAGGUUCUUAGGAUGGUUUGAAACCCCUCCCUCUCUCUAAGGGGGGGUUUCCAAACAAAUGAAACACAAAUUUCUAUAAAACUCGAGAACUUAUCAAGCAAAUGGAGCCAAAUUUGGCAUGUGAGGGUAUUUGGGUACGAGAAAUGUUUCUGUGGGUCCCAUAAACAUGUUAUACAAAUUCCAACCAAACAUGACAAUUGAAAAUUUUCGGAAAUCUCUAAAAGAUAAUGGAAAAAUGUGAAAAUUGAAUUACCAUAUGUUUUACAAUUAUAUCGUGACAUGAGUUGUUAGGCCAUUUGGAAGUGGAAAUGGUAUUUCAGGUGAAAAAACGCACUCCUAUAUCUUGUAACUAUAUAACUAGAAACGAAUCGCCAAACGUGAUGGGAAACUCAAGGAAGCAAUCGUCCGAUUGGAUGAGUAUUCUUUUUAUUAUAUUUUCUGUAUAAAACAUGUAUUCCAUGUAACGGAGAGGCAUGUUUUUGCAAGUGAUUGAAAAAUAUUGAACGAGAAUUGUGUCUGAAAAUAACUUGAUAUUAUAAUGAAGAAUUUUGGUAGAAGAACUAGGAAAUUUAUAUUAAUUAUUAUAUUGCAGAGGGUCUAUUAGAAGAUCAAUCAAUGAACAGUUCUGCGACCCGAUUGGAUCAUCUAAAUCGGUUCAGUAGUUCAAAUGUUAUGAAUUUUUGUAGCUGAAAAACUAGAAAAAAAUAGAUUCGAUUAACUUUGAAAAAUCAUAACUCAAAAACGAAAAAAAUAGUAUUUCCGAUGUCGAGAUAUGUUAUGUAAAAAAUCCUCAGCUUCCAAAAAAAAAUAUAAAAAAUAUAGCACCCUCUAGUUCAAAGCCAUGAAAACAAUAAAAAACGACUACUACUAGUAAUAGUGAAAAUAAAAUCCAUUUUCCUCGCUGGCUCAAUAUUUUUUUUAAAUAAGAGACUAGCUCAUUGGCUUCAAUUUGAUAUGUCGAUCAUCUAAAUCGGUUCAGUGGUUCAAAAACUAUGAUUUUUUGAACCAUACUAAAAUGGAAAUGUUUGCAAAAAGCCAUUUUUGGAUAAAGGAGAUAAAAUGAUUUUUCGAACCACCGAUGGAUAUUUAAAAAUCAUAUCUGAAAACGAAAAAAAAAUGCAUUUUGGUAUAGAGAAAUGUUAUGUAAAAAAUACACAGCCUUUCAUAAAAAUAUAGAAAAAUAUAGCGCCCUCUAGUCCAAGACA